GCCACCAUUGUUUCCUUCACAGGAUAAAGAACUCUCUGUCACCAAUGUUCAGCCUCAUCUCCGUCGCUGUAGGCGCAUCUAGGAUCAGACUGUCAAAUGAAAUAAUUAUUCGCACUGUUAUUUCUUUCUUUAAUUUUGUUCUUUCAUUUAUCAUGUGUGUUUCUUGAAGUUAAGCAGCUGCUCAGAGCUGCACCUUUUGCUCCGUUGAGGGGAAGUGUCAAACCACAAGUCAUUCUGUCUGCGAGGGCAACUCAUUUCCCUUCAACAGCCUCAUUUCUGUAUAGACACCUAACUGCUGAUAAAGAUGAAAUAGUAUUCGCACCUGCUCUGAUUAAACUGUUGAACCUGCGGGGUGUGAAGCGAGCAAGGCGAUUAUUGGAAACCGCACGUCUCCACGCGUCUGUUAUCUACUCUGUAUAUAUGUGGAGUUGCGGUUUGUACAAUGUCAUGAUGUUCUGUCUAAUUUUCCGUUUGACCUAAACCUUGCACCUGAUGACUUUGUUCCAAAAAACGUUAUUUUUGGUUGACUUCCCGGAAUUGUUUUUGCGCCACCUGGGCGUCUAAGAUGUGUAUAAAAAUUGACACGCUGCAUGCUGUCUUGCAGAGUUUGUUUGAUAGCAUGAAGACAGCUGUCAGAUCUGGAGCCACGGGUGAGGG